rnacentral:rRNA from 1 species
GUUGAACGCUGGCGGCAUGCCUUACACAUGCAAGUCGAACGGCAGCACGGGGGCUUUCACCUUCUGGCGAUUGGCGCACGGGUGAGUGUUACAUCUGGACAUGUCCUGUAGUGGGGUAUAGUCCGGCGAAAACCGGGUUAAUACCACAGACUAACAUCUUGAAACAGAUGGGGCCCUUCUGACCGCCCGCUUUGGUGUUGGUCAAUGGCUGAUUAGCUAGUUGGUAGGGUAAAGGCCUACCAAGGCGACGAUCAGUAGCUGGUCUGAGAGGGUGACCAGCCACACUGGGACUGAGACACGGCCCAGACUCCUACGGGAGGCAGCAGUGGGGAAUUUUGCACAAUGGGCGAAAGCCUGAUCCAGCAACGCCGCGUGUGUGAAGAAGGUCUUCGGGUUGUAAAGCACUUUUGUCCGGAAAGAAAUACUUGGCACUAAUCCGGUCGGGGGAUGACGGUACCGGAAGAAUAAGCAACGGCUAACUACGUG